AUUCCAGAUAGCUCAGUUGGUUGGAGCAUGGUGCUACUAACAUCAAGGCUGCAGGUCUGAUCCCUGUAUGGGACA